rnacentral:rRNA from 1 species
GAUGAACGCUAGCGGCAGGCUUAAUACAUGCAAGUCGAGGGGCAGCACGUUUCGCAGCACUGCGGGAUGGUGGCGACCGGCAAACGGGUGAGGAUCGCGUACACAAUCUUCCCAGAGCAGGGGGAUAACCCGGGGAAACCCGGACUAAUACCCCGUAGUUUACUUUGAAGGCAUCUUUGAGGUAAUAAAACUCCGGUGGCUUUGGAUGAGUGUGCGUCCCAUUAGGUAGUUGGCAGGGUAACGGCCUACCAAGCCUUCGAUGGGUAACUGGUGUGAGAGCACGACCAGUCACACGGGCACUGAGACACGGGCCCGACUCCUACGGGAGGCAGCAGUAAGGAAUAUUGGUCAAUGGAAGCAAGUCUGAACCAGCCAUGCCGCGUGAAGGAUGAAGGUCCUCUGGAUUGUAAACUUCUUUUAUAGGGGGCGAAAAAAGGGUUGUUUAACUCACUUGACGGUACCUUAUGAAUAAGCACCGGCUAACUCCGUG